rnacentral:rRNA from 1 species
AGUGAACGCUGGCGGUGGGCCUAACACAUGCAAGUCGAACGGAAGCACAGUAAGCGCUUGCUCUUACGGGUGGCGAGUGGCGGACGGGUGAGGAGUACAUCGGAAUCUACUUUUUCGUGGGUGAUAACGUAGGGAAACUUACGCUAAUACCGCAUACGACCUACGGGUGAAAGCAGGGGAUCUUCGGACCUUGCGCGAUUGAAUGAGCCGAUGUCGGAUUAGCUAGUUGGCGGGGUAAGGGCCCACCAAGGCGACGAUCCGUAGCUGGUCUGAGAGGAUGAUCAGCCACACUGGAACUGAGACACGGUCCAGACUCCUACGGGAGGCAGCAGUGGGGAAUAUUGGACAAUGGGCGCAAGCCUGAUCCAGCCAUACCGCGUGGGUGAAGAAGGCCUUCGGGUUGUAAAGCCCUUUUGUUGGGAAAGAAAAGCAGCAGGUUAAUACCCCGCUGUCCUGACGGUACCCAAAGAAUAAGCACCGGCUAACUUCGUG